rnacentral:lncRNA from 1 species
GUAACUUAUUGUUGUCGGAACAGGAGUCCACAAGUUUGAUAUGACUAUACGACGUAUCGUCGUCUAUCUCUCCUCCAAAUUCUAUUCUCCGUUUCUCCCCACUUUCUAUAUAAACAAAAAAAACGAGAUCUGGAGAAGAGAAAAGACACAUCGAAUUCAAUCGAACCCCUGUGCCUCACAAUAUUCCCUUCUUUCUAAAAUGAUCUAUUGGAUAGAUUCAUUUUACCAUUACAUUAUUACAUUUUUACAUACGUUACAUUUUUACCAUACAUUAUUAUUGAUUUAUAUCCAUCCCAGAGGAGAAUAUUAAUUUAUUGAUUCUAACAAUUAUUUUGCAUUUUCUCAACAUAUAAUCGCUAGAAACCUCUCUGUAUUAUUUGACCGAUAUGGGAACCGACUUUGUAGCAGUGGUGUGAAUUUUUUUAAAACAAAGACAUGCAUAAGGAAAAGAAAUAUGUUUAUUGCAAUAAUAAUAAAAUAAUAAUAAUAAUCGUUGAUAUUUAUAAUAAUGUGAAGUCGCCGAGACCGAAGGUGAAACGUACAGGCUUAU